rnacentral:misc_RNA from 1 species
UGAAAUGCGAUAACUAGUGUGAAUUGCAUUAUCUCGUGAACCAUCGAGUCUUUGAACGCAUAUUGCACCUCCCAGGUCUCCUGAGAGGUAUACUUGUUUGAGUAUCAUAAACACUGCUCCUGCUGGCUAGCUUGCUUGCUGGCGGGGAAUUGAGACGGCAAGCGUGCCUGCACGCCUGUGUCUUUCAAUUGACAUGCUGCGCGAGGCUGCGUUGCACCACUGCUAGCUAGCUAGCUGCUGGUGGCCAAUGCAGGGACACCGCACCCCAAAUGUGAGAUAAACAUCGCACAGAGUCGGGUGUGUGUCUAUUGCGCGGCUACGCCCAGCGGACUGGACUGCCGGUAGUGAGAAUUUAGUAUCUCUGCCUGCGCUGCGCCGCCCACGAACUCCAGUGAUCUCA